GCCAUUUUCAGGUUGGGUACCGAUUAUCAAUUUUGGAAUUAGGACUCGUCUCGUAGGAUCUAACCGUUAGGCUACAGGUAGUCUUCACAUCCCGCUAGCUAGUUUAUACAUUGAAUGAGAUAGAUGUAAUAGAAACGCAUAGAUGACAUGACAUAAGGAAAGCGUUGAAAGAUAGAGCUCGAAAUUAGGUGCUCUAGUCAACAAUACGGCGAGACGGAGCGCUAUGCAAGUGAAGUCAACCACCAGUGGCAAAGAGUCUAAAUUGAUAUUGGAGGAUGCAGUAUGCCUCUGGAACAGGCUUGUCUAAGUGGGCGAGAGCCACGUGCAUCCAGUAAGAAUUCCGAAGACAGGAGCAACACUGCCACCCUGCUGGCCUCAAGGAGUACUGCAGACACAGAGUCCAACAGAAGAGGCUCUCGCUGCGGCUCUGAAAAAGAUUCUGGAUAUUCGGACAACAACAGCUGCACAGACUGGCUCCAUGUGGAUAGAGAGAACCAGGGCAGCAGCGUGAGUGAGCCCAGGGAAGGGGAGGGUCUUCAGAGCCAGGUCAAGCCCGAGCAGGCCCCUCUCCAGGGGAAUCACAUCCUGGUCCCCAGCCCCGGAAGCCCUGACCUCACCCCCAUCUUCAUCAUCAAGAACGUGGUGCUCAAACAGGUGAAAGAGGUGGGAGGCAGGCUUGAGAAUGGCUCAGACCAUCACCUCCAGAACCAGCUAAACUGGGAGAACAGAGGAGGAAGCUCCAAUGACUCUGGCCCCUGUCAUGUGAUCCUGGUUCAGCAGCCCAGUGAAGCCUCGGCCUCACCCGCAUCCCCAAAGCCCAACAGAACACAGUCCUGGAGAUCUGACAGCACAGCUAUGAAAACAAAAAGCAGAACCUACCUGCCCAUUCUUAAGUCCUACCCUCGUAUCGCUCCCCAUCCCAGUAAGAAGCCAUCUGACAAGACCCCAGUGGACCCCCAUGGUAAGGGGACUGGCAGGGAGGACCAAAGCCAGGACAAGAGGAUGUGUACAGAGGACAAGAGGGAUGAGGUGUCCACUACUACUCACUUACUGACACCAUCCAGAAAACAUGUCCGCAAGCAGCCAGACCCCAAGAGAAGCCUGUCCCACUGGAGGAGCCCUGCCUCCUCCUCCCACUCCCCCAGCCCCCUCUCUCCCUCCACACUUUCCAGCUUUGUCUCCCGCUCUAUGUCCAGCUCCGACACCACCACUGCCUCCUCCUACUCCUCUUCCGGUGGCUCCUCUCCCCUCUCGGCCAGGAGGUCGCCCCGCAGGCAUGGUCCAGGCCUGUCCCUGUUCAGUGCGGCGCGUGACAGGCGCUUCCUGAACACGGUGGGCAUCCUAAGCCAGUCAGGCCUGCUUGACAUCACGCUGCGCACCCAGGACCUCCUCCGCCAGAGCAACGCCACAGACCGAGACAUCGCCCAGCUCCGCCAGCACACACAGCUGCUGUACCAGGCUGCCAACCACCACAACAACAACCCCUAUAACAGUGACCCUGAUAAUAACGACCCCAAUGCCAACACAGCCAACGCGGGCUGGGAGAGGAUACACCAGGCUAUGGCUCAGUCAGGCUGCUACCCCAGCCUCAAGAACCUGGGGAGUGAAGAGGAUCACAACACUUAUAGUCCAGAGCCAGGAGUGGGAGGGGACGCCAGUUUCAAGAGAGAUUCAGUUGACCCUAAUAUUGCCACUCAUACCCACAAUGGGGUGGAGGCCCCGGCCCAACCCUCGCCCCUCCUGGCCCCCAUGUCAGAUCUGCUCCCACAGUACUGCCCUGUUUCCCUGUCACAGCAUUCUCCAGUCAGCGUCACCACGUCCCGCUCUCACUCUGGGCAGGCCAGUGCCAAACCCCCUGAGACAGUCACCACCAUGCCCCCUGACAGUUCCACCCAUGGUGGUCUUCUCUAGCACCUGCCCAAGGAAAGACAGGGCACCUGGCCAGUUUGUAACCCUCUAACAGUCACUUCACUUCAGCUCCAACGAACCCAAAGUAUGUAGUCUGUAUAGUAACAUGUUUCUGACGGUUACCCCGACAGAGACAUUAAUAGCCUCCCAAAAAAAGACUAUGUUUUGGCCUCUUCAAAGACUGCUUGAGGAAAUUCCUAGAGAGGCUGAGGGGAAGAGGUUGAAGGUUUAAUGACGCGUGAGACAAUGUCGACAGGACAGCACUAUGCUACACUGUAUAUUUCUGCACAGCGUCUAAAUACUACUCAUUGCCUGCCAUAAAAACUCAGUUUCAGCUUACCAAUUAGUGAGCUGAAUAUCAAGACUUGUUGCAUUUUGAUAAACUUCACUACGUAUAGAGAAAUUAUACUGACAAUGUACAUUAUUUUUGUAUUUGCCAAAUAUAAAAUAGACUGACCAGGUAAAUUCAGGUGAAAGUUAUGAUCCCUUAUUUAUGUAAUCUGUUAAAUACACCUCAAUCAGUUAGUGUAGAUGAAGGGGAGAACACAGGUUAAAGAAGGAUUUUUAAGUGCCUUUGAACAACAGGCUAUGGUAGUAGGUGCCAGGCGCACUGGUUUGAGUGUGUCAAGAACUGCAACGCUGCUGGGUUUUUCACGCUCAACAGUUUCCUAUAUGUAUCAAGAAUGGUUCACCACCCAAAGGACAUCCAGCCAACUUGACACAACUGUGUGAUACAUUGGAGUCAACAUGGGCCAGCAUCCCUGUGGAACGCUUUCCACACGUUGUAGAGUCCAUGUCUUGAUGAAUUGAGGCUGUUCUGAAGGCACAAGGGGGUGGAACUCAAUAUUCCUAAUGUGUUGUACACUCUGUGUAUAAACGUAUCGUAUGGUUAAAGAUGUCAUUGAAACAUAAAAGGCUAUUUCAUUCAGGAUCUUGAAGAUCCUACCAGGGAAUUAUGUAUUAACAGUGGUCUUUGAUUGUUUUAGUAUUGACAAAACCAGGUGUGUGUGUGUUUGCUUCUUGAGUCUCAUCUAAGGGAAUGCCAAUACACACAUUUCUAUGUGACAUAAAGACAGUUUAUUUUUUUAUCUACUUUAAUUUGUGUUUUUAGAUAAGCAUUAUAUUGUGGGGAAUUCAUCAAUGUUUCUGAUGUCUAAUAAGGAUUAUAAAAUGUAAUUGAGGUAAAGCACUAAUUUACGUAACAAAAAUGCUAUUAGUUAAAGUUGCUUUUAUAUUGGCCAAAAAUGGUCUUUCAUAAUAAGAAAGUGACAGAAUGAGAUGAUAAGAUGACCUUUUAAUAGUGACUACAACUGCUACCAUGUAAACUGGAGUGACUUCAGAAAGGUACAUCAUGAGCUGCCAGUAACCCAUGUUAAGCCUUGAGUGGGGACAGUUGAAAGAACAUUGUGUUUUGUUUAGUACAAUGACCAUCUGCAGUGUCUCUAGGUUGCUCGUUCUGUGCUUGGACUAUGUUCUUUCAAAUGUAUUGUGGUGACGCACUGUUCAAAUAUGGAACAUGAUGACACUGUAUUGAAACAUGCACCAUUGUUCAUUAUCAAUGGUAUUCUAUCAACAUGUUGGUAAGGAUACAAGAGUGCAGCUAGAUGUUGUGUUAAGAUACAUGAUCAGUAUACAAAGAACUUUGACGCAGAAGCUUUUCUAGGUGUGUGUCAGUUCAUUUGUCCGUGGGUUCCCCUGCUGCGGUCAUGAGUACCUCCAUCUCUGCUCCAGAGGUCAUGUGCUCCGGCUUAGUCUUUCUCUUCCGGGUCAACGGGAGGUCAUGGUCCGGCCGACACAGGUGGAGGAAACGCUGAUCUGCAGCAGGGCCCACCCGGGGACCAGGACGAUGGAGGAGAGGGCCAACAGCCAGCCCAGAACAUGCACCCAUCCUGGGUACACAUACCAGCAGUUGAAGGUCAGGGGCUGGUACUCCACCAGAGAGCAGAUGAGUUCCCAAGACACGAUCCAGCUUCUGGAGGGCCAGAAUCUUAACAGUAAUUGGCUGUCUAUUGUUUCUGACUGUUGUUCUGUUGUGGAAGAGAGGAGCCGCAGUCAGAGAGACCUCCACUCUGACUCCCAAGUCUGACCACGGCAUGAUCCAGUCCUCAUAGCAGGUACUGUCUCAACGUCAACAGUGAAGAGGCAACUCCGGGAUGUUGAAAAGAAAAAGCCAUAUCUCAGACUGGCCAAUAAAAAGAAAAUAUUAAGAUGGGCAAAAGACAGACACUGGACAAUGGAACUCGCUGUUGAUGUUGAGACUGGUGUUUUGCGUGUACUAUUUAAUGAAGCUGCCAGUUGAGAACUUGUGAGGUAUCUGUUUCUCAAACUAGACACUCUAAUGUACUUGUCCUCUUGCUCAGUUGUGCACCGGGGCCUCCCACUCCUCUUUCUUUUCUGGUUAGAGCCAGUUUGCGCUGUUCUGUGAAGAGAGUAGUACACAACGUUGUACAAAGAAGGCCAGUUUUAUUGCUUCUUUCAUCAGAACGACAGUUUUCAGCUGUGCUAACAUAAUUGCAAAAGGGUUUUCUAAUGAUCAAUUAGCCUUUUUAAGCGAUAAACUUGGAUUAGCUAACACAACGUGCCAUUGGAACACAGGAGUGAUGUUUGCUGAUAACGGGUCUCUGUACGCCUAUGUAGAUAUUCCAUAAAAUAUCUCCCAUUUCCAGCUACAAUAGUCAUUUACAACAUUAACAAUGUCUACAUUGUAUUUCUGAUCAAUUUGAUGUCAUUUUAUUGGACACAAAAUGUGUUUUUCUUUCAAAAACAAGGACAUUUCUAAGUGAUAAAGAUCUCAUUCCAUAGCAUGAUUAGUGUCUGUGUGUCUGACUGGAAGGUACCAGGGAGAGAAUGGCUCGGGGCCAGACCCUGGUCUCUACACAAUGAGGACAGUAUUUACAGCUGAUACUGUUUGCUAUGAAUUAUUUGUAACCUUGUGACCCAUUCCCUACAUCUGUUGUUUGGCAUGAACAUCCAGGAGGAUGGACUUUGCUAUAAAAUUCUGUGGCUCAAAUCCGCUCGUUGAGUUCUCAGUGAUCACCUCCAGGUGUGAUUACCGACCAGCUCCAUUACUGCAGUAAUUAAAUA